GCGGCUUUAGCUCACUUGGGAGAGCGCCAGACUGAAGCCCACUUCAGAUCAAAUCAUGAAUAUCUGGAGGCACUGUGUUCGAUCCACAGAAGCCGCA